rnacentral:snRNA from 1 species
GUGCUCACUUCGGCAGCACAUUUAGUAAAAUUGGAAUGAUACAGAGAAGAUUAGCAUGGCCCCUGCACAGAUGACAUGCAAAUUCAUGAAGCAUUCCGUAUUUAA